rnacentral:tRNA from 1 species
GGAGAGAUGUCCGAGUGGCCGAAGGAGCACGCUUGGAAAGCGUGUGUGGGGGAAACUCCACCGGGGGUUCGAAUCCCCCUCUCUCCGCCA